CCUACGGGGGGCAGCAGUGGGGAAUAUUGGACAAUGGGGGCAACCCUGAUCCAGCCAUGCCGCGUGUGUGAAGAAGGCCCUCGGGUUGUAAAGCACUUUCAGUGAGGAAGAACGCCUGGUGGUUAAUACCCAUCAGGAAAGACAUCACUCACAGAAGAAGCACCGGCUAACUCCGUGCCAGCAGCCGCGGUAAUACGGAGGGUGCGAGCGUUAAUCGGAAUUACUGGGCGUAAAGCGCGCGUAGGUGGCUUGAUAAGCCGGUUGUGAAAGCCCCGGGCUCAACCUGGGAACGGCAUCCGGAACUGGCAAGCUAGAGUUCAGGAGAGGAAGGUGGAAUUCCCGGUGUAGCGGUGAAAGGCGUAGAGAUCGGGAGGAAGAGCAGUGGCGAAGGCGGCCUUCUGGACUGACACUGACACUGAGGUGCGAAAGCGUGGGUAGCAAACAGGAUUAGAUACCCCAGUAGUC
rnacentral:rRNA from 1 species